rnacentral:tRNA from 1 species
GCCCCCUUGGCUCAGUCGGUAGAGCGUUAGUCUCAUAAUCUGAAGGUCGGCAGUUCGAUCCUGUUAGGGGGCA